GUUUUUAUACGCCCGUCUAUGACGGGACGUAUUAUGGUAUACCCCGCGUCCGUCCGUCCGUCUGUUAAUGUCGUACGCUACGUCAAAUAUCCUUUGACAGAUUUUCUUCAAAUUUUAACACAAUCUUAAUAUUGAUAAACCCUGAUCCCCUUUCGUUUUUGACGGAAUUCUGAAUUGUCGUUCCAGAGUUAUGGGACUUUGUUCGUCAAAAUUUCGUGAUUUCAUUGAAUGUCCUACUGUAGCUAUAUAAAAAUGUUAAAGUUGUUAUAACUUUGGUAUGCUUGGACCUAGAGUCUUGAAACUUGACAUGAAGGUUGGCCAGAACUAGUAAGUAACCACUGGACAUUUCAAGGUCAUUCAUUUGAAGGUCAAGGUCACUGUGACCUUGAAUGUAAAAAUGUUAAAUUCUUAUUUCAUGUUAUAACUUUGGUAUGCUUGUACCUAGAGUCUUCAAACUUGAAAUAAAGAUUGGCCAGUACUAGAAGAUGACCACUGGUCAUUUCAAUGUCAUUCAUUUGAAGGUCAAGGUCACUGUGACCUUAAAUGUUAAAAUGUUAAAAUUGUUAUAACUUUGGUAUGCUUGGACAUAGAGUCUUCAAACUUGACAUGAAGGUUUGCAAGCACACUUAGAUGACCACUGGUCAUUUCAAGGUCAUUCAUUCUAAGGUCAAGGUCACACAAGGUCACUGUGACCUUAAAUGUUAAAAUGUUAAAAUUGUUAUAACUUUGGUAUGCUUGGACAUAGAGUCUUCAAACUUGACAUGAAGGUUUGCAAGCACACUUAGAUGACCACUGGUCAUUUCAAGGUCAUUCAUUCUAAGGUCAAGGUCACUGUGACCUUAAAUGUUAUUGUUGUUCAUGUAUCCUACCGUAGCUCAAAUAUCCCCCGAUGGAUUUUUUAUACGCCCGUCUAUGACGGGACGUAUUAUGGUAUACCCCGCGUCCGUCUGUCCGUCCGUCCGUCCGUCCGUCCGUCCGUCUGUUAAUGUCGUACGCUACGUCAAAUAUCCUUUGACAGAUUUUCUUCAAAUUUUAACACAAUCUUAAUAUUGAUAAACCCUGAUCCCCUUUCGUUUUUGACGGAAUUCUGAAUUAUCGUUCCAGAGUUAUGGGACUUUGUUCGUCAAAAUUUCGUGAUUUCAUUGAAUGUCCUACUGUAGCUCAAAUAUCCUUCGAUGGAUUUUUUUCAAAUUUCAACACAAUCUUAAUACUGAUAAACCCUGAUCCCCUUUCGUUUUUGACGGAAUUCUGAAUUGUCGUUCCAGAGUUAUGGGACUUUGUUCGUCAAAAUUUCGUGAUUUCCAUGCUCAUGUACUUAUAAAAUAAACCAUGUAUUCAAAUACAAAUAAACUGAAGUAAAAAAAUGA